rnacentral:rRNA from 1 species
GAUGAACGCUGGCGGCGUGCCUAAUACAUGCAAGUCGAGCGAACGGACGAGAAGCUUGCUUCUCUGAUGUUAGCGGCGGACGGGUGAGUAACACGUGGAUAACCUACCUAUAAGACUGGGAUAACUUCGGGAAACCGGAGCUAAUACCGGAUAAUAUUUUGAACCGCAUGGUUCAAAAGUGAAAGACGGUCUUGCUGUCACUUAUAGAUGGAUCCGCGCUGCAUUAGCUAGUUGGUAAGGUAACGCUUACCAAGGCAACGAUGCAUAGCCGACCUGAGAGGGUGAUCGGCCACACUGGAACUGAGACACGGUCCAGACUCCUACGGGAGGCAGCAGUAGGGAAUCUUCCGCAAUGGGCGAAAGCCUGACGGAGCAACGCCGCGUGAGUGAUGAAGGUCUUCGGAUCGUAAAACUCUGUUAUUAGGGAAGAACAUAUGUGUAAGUAACUGUGCACAUCUUGACGGUACCUAAUCAGAAAGCCACGGCUAACUACGUG